AACGAACGCUGGCGGCAUGCCUAACACAUGCAAGUCGAACGAGACCUUCGGGUCUAGUGCGCACGGGUGCGUAACGCGUGGGAACCUGCCCUUAGGUUCGGAAUAACUCCCCGAAAGGGGUUCUAAUACCGGAUAAUGUCUUCGGACCAAAGAUUUAUCGCCUUUGGAUGGGCCCGCGUUGGAUUAGCUAGUUGGUAGGGUAAAAGCCUACCAAGGCGACGAUCCAUAGCUGGUCUGAGAGGAUGAUCAGCCACACUGGGACUGAGACACGGCCCAGACUCCUACGGGAGGCAGCAGUGGGGAAUAUUGGACAAUGGGCGAAAGCCUGAUCCAGCAAUGCCGCGUGAGUGAUGAAGGCCUUAGGGUUGUAAAGCUCUUUUACCCGGGAUGAUAAUGACAGUACCGGGAGAAUAAGCUCCGGCUAACUCCGUG
rnacentral:rRNA from 1 species